rnacentral:rRNA from 1 species
GUAACACAGAGGAGCUUGCUCCUUGGGUGACGAGCGGCGGACGGGUGAGUAAAGUCUGGGGAUCUGCCUGAUGGAGGGGGAUAACUACUGGAAACGGUAGCUAAUACCGCAUGACGUCUUCGGACCAAAGUGGGGGACCUUCGGGCCUCACGCCAUGAGAUGAACCCAGAUGGGAUUAGCUGGUAGGUGAGGUAACGGCUCACCUAGGCGACGAUCCCUAGCUGGUCUGAGAGGAUGACCAGCCACACUGGAACUGAGACACGGUCCAGACUCCUACGGGAGGCAGCAGUGGGGAAUAUUGCACAAUGGGGGAAACCCUGAUGCAGCCAUGCCGCGUGUGUGAAGAAGGCCUUCGGGUUGUAAAGCACUUUCAGCGGGGAGGAAGGCAAUAAACUUAAUAAGUUUGUUGAUUGACGUUACCCGCAGAAGAAGCACCGGCUAACUCCGUGCCAGCAGCCGCGGUAAUACGGAGGGUGCAAGCGUUAAUCGGAAUGACUGGGCGUAAAGCGCACGCAGGCGGUCUGUUAAGUUGGAUGUGAAAUCCCCGGGCUCAACCCGGGAACAGCAUUCAAAACUGACAGGCUAGAGUCUCGUAGAGGGGGGUAGAAUUCCAGGUGUAGCGGUGAAAUGCGUAGAGAUCUGGAGGAAUACCGGUGGCGAAGGCGGCCCCCUGGACGAAGACUGACGCUCAGGUGCGAAAGCGUGGGGAGCAAACAGGAUUAGAUACCCUGGUAGUCCACGCCGUAAACGAUGUCGACUUGGAGGCUGUGGUCUUGAACCGUGGCUUCCGGAGCUAACGCGUUAAGUCGACCGCCUGGGGAGUACGGCCGCAAGGUUAAAACUCAAAUGAAUUGACGGGGGCCCGCACAAGCGGUGGAGCAUGUGGUUUAAUUCGAUGCAACGCGAAGAACCUUACCUACUCUUGACAUCCAGAGAAGACUGUAGAGAUACGGUUGUGCCUUCGGGAGCUCUGAGACAGGUGCUGCAUGGCUGUCGUCAGCUCGUGUUGUGAAAUGUUGGGUUAAGUCCCGCAACGAGCGCAACCCUUAUCCUUUGUUGCCAGCGAUACGGUCGGGAACUCAAAGGAGACUGCCGGUGAUAAACCGGAGGAAGGUGGGGAUGACGUCAAGUCAUCAUGGCCCUUACGAGUAGGGCUACACACGUGCUACAAUGGCGCAUACAAAGAGAAGCGAGCCUGCGAGGGUGAGCGGACCUCAUAAAGUGCGUCGUAGUCCGGAUUGGAGUCUGCAACUCGACUCCAUGAAGUCGGAAUCGCUAGUAAUCGUAGAUCAGAAUGCUACGGUGAAUACGUUCCCGGGCCUUGUACACACCGCCCGUCACACCAUGGGAGUGGGUUGCAAAAGAAGUAGGUAGCU